GAUGAAGAACGUAGCGAAAUGCGAUAAGUAAUGUGAAUUGCAGAAUUCAGUGAAUCAUCGAAUCUUUGAACGCACAUUGCGCCCGCCAGUAUUCUGGCGGGCAUGCCUGUUCGAGCGUCAUUACAACCCUCAGGCCCCCGGGCCUGGCGUUGGGGAUCGGCGGAGCCCCCCGUGGGCACACGCCGUCCCCCAAAUGCAGUGGCGGUCCCGCCGCAGCUUCCAUCGCGUAGUAGCUAACACCUCGCGACUGGAGAGCGGCGGGCCACGCCGUAAAACACCCAACUCUUCUGAAGUUGACCUCGAAUCAGGUAGGAAUACCCGCUGAACUUAAGCAUAUCAAUAAGCGGAGGA
rnacentral:misc_RNA from 1 species